UUUUCCUCUAAUAUGACUCCACUUUGUAAUUACAGAAACCAGCUCCUCCUGGGGAGGAGGGUGCCUGGGGUAAGAGGCUCAGAGACCAUCCUGACAUCACUGCAACUAUGAUUUCACCAGGAUAAUGUACUGCAACAUCAUUGUCAUAUGAAAUCUCUACUCUUGGAAAGAGAUUUCAGCCUUUGAAUUAAGCAGCAGUUCACUCUCAGUGCUACAGGCGAUAAAAGGGAAUAUUCCAGUCCCCGUGUCCAUCACGGCUGCUCUGCCAAGCAGAGUUAACAGACACACACUGCCCUGCUGCUGUGCUGCACUAACAUCGCCUUUGCUGCACGCGAGGAAUCUGCCUUAAUUUCUCACUGAGGAGUCUGAAGAAAUGAGUGCCCUAGGAAUUCACAUGGAAACGUACUCUCAGGUAACUAAACUCUCACCCCUGGGUCAUGGCAACAGGUCAGCUCUUCCUGCACAGAUUGGGCCUUCUGCAAUUUCUUCACACAAGCCGCUACUUUCCACAGAACCACCAGGUGCCAAGUCCUGGGAAGAAGGGAACACAAGAUCCAAGUGCUGGGGAAGCCCAGGCACUGGUGCAUCCCCUUGUCACACUGUAGGAGUGAACAGAGCACAGGACAGUGCAGGAGCAGGGAGCCACAGAGCUGAGUUUGGGUGGACAGUUUGCAGGAAAUGUGUCCAUGGGUUUGACAGCAGUGUUCCUGCAUUAGCACCACAGCAGCAGCUGUUAUUAACUGUCUGCUUUCCCUCUGGAGUGGUGUAACUGCUCCAUGCAGUGGAGAGGCAUCCAAUUAAUUGGAUGGAUAAAAGUGGUUAAUGCACCUUGGAGAAGCAUAAUUUAAUUGGAAAUUAUUAUUAUGUUCUGGUCCUAUGUAAAGAGCGUGAGAAUCAGCACUAAUGGCUCUGUAUUAACAUGACUUUUAAUUGCUGUGAGGUUCUGUGAUUUAAGCUUCUUUCUGGUUAUGGUUUUGUUUCCCAGAGAUCUUUGGUGGGAUGCAAUAACACACUGGGAUCCAGUGAGGUGCAUUGCCAUGAGUCAAGGCUGUCACUCCUCAGUGCUGAUUCUAGGGUGGAGCUUGGCUCCAGGCUUUGCCUUUGACACCCCCAGGGAUGGCUCCUGAGAGCAGCUGAGCUCCUGGCUGUACUGCAGGGGCUGCUCCCUGCUGUCCCACCCAGCACUGCCUUCCUCACCGCUUCCCUGCCUUUCCAGCAGGCUCUGCUUCCCUCCCAGGGCACAGGUGUGCAGGGCUGUGCUGGUUCCUUGCUGCUCCCACAGAGAUGUGGUGCCAUAGGGUUACAGCUGCAGCAGGAAUGGGGUUCCAGUGAGUCAAUCCCCCUCCUCAGGAUGCUCACCUGAGCAGCUGCUCAGCAGCGACUGUAGGAGAGAACGGAGCCUGUGUAGCCUGCAAAGAAGACAGCAAACCAAGGAAGGGCAACUUUCUCCCCCACAGAGCUGUGAACCCUCCCUGGCUCACAGACCACUUGUGGUGUCUUUUACAGCCCCUCUGAUUUACCAGAGUGGUGCUUAUAGAGGUGGGGAAAAUGCAGUUUUGCAAUGGUGUGGAAAAUGCCUGUGAGGAGAUGAGACAUCAAGCUGCCAUCAGCACAAAUAUAUCUGUGCCUUGUUUUCCUGUUUUUCUGGCUUUGGACAAGCGCCACCACAACCAACAGUUUUCCUGUUCUUUUUUAGCUUUGCUUUCACAAGUAUCUUAAACCAACUCUGUCCACCCCAGCAGAAACAUAAUACGCUGACAAGUUUAGAACAAAAAAACCCCAGGAUUUUUAAUCUGUCAAAGAGAAACAGGGAGAGCCUUGGGCUCCUUCAGUGGUCUGUGGUUGUGGAGUUGGACACUGCUGGCCUGGCUGUGUGCAGUGGGCCCGUGCCCAUUCUCCUGGCCCUCUGGAGCAGGCGGCUGUGGAGAGUGCUCAGGGCAUUGCACUUGCAGCUGUUUCCACAGCAGGUCAAGGUGAGCGAGAGCCUCCUGGCUCCAGCUCCCUGGGACCAGCAGAGAACAGGGCUGGGAGGGAAGGAGGAGGCUGUGGAGCACGUGUCCAUCGUGUCCUUGCUCUGGGAGAGGCCAGGGGCUGGCCAGGUGCAGUCAUGGGGCUCACCGAGGGCAUGGCUGGUGCUGCCUGUGGCUCUGCCUCUACCAACACAUGCCUGGAGCUUGCCCACCACCAUCUCAUCAACAGAGAGUCCUUUUAAAACCUGUCACAAGAGCCCAGGGAGUAAAGGUGUAACCCUGGGCACUGCCAGCCCAAGGAGCUGCAAGGAAUCUGUGUCAGAGCUGGGGUGGCUCAGAGCUGGGGCAGGACAGGGGUGCAGGGGACAGGGCAGUGGUGCUGUGCCUCGGAGUGCAUUCCUAAGUGGAGCUGAUUUAAUAAACAGCAGGAGUGUUUUCCCAGGCCACAUGCUGAGCUGUAUUCAAAAUACAUUUGUACGAACAUCAAUUUUUAAUGCAAUUUAUGCCAAAUGUUGUUGCAAAAAGCAGCCGUUAACAUGACAUUAAUUCAAUCACUGGAAAUACAGUACGUGCUGCUAAAUGAAAACAUGUUAUUAGUCAAUUAGAUUAACUGGAUGUAACACUUCCAAACACAAUGUAAUAUGGUUUCUACAUGGUUAAUUACGUUGUACAAAUUACAUGGCAAUAAGGCUCAGCACUGGACACACACAUGCAAUUAAUACAUAAGCAGAAAAACCAGCUUGUGAUUCACAUUUGAACUAUGUAAAAUUAUUUGAAAUAUAAAUAUCUUGCAAGCUUGAAAUAAAGAGGCAGAAUUAUGCUGAUACUAUAAUGGGCACAGGGUAAUUUCUAAAAUAGCCAGGAAGGCCUUUGUGAGGAGAUCACAGAUGUUUGUGGUUGCUUUCACGAGUUUUAAUUUGCUUUGAAAAGACCAUUUUAAUUUUAAACAGGAACACUCCUGGCCCUGGUGGGGUCCCUCUGUGUACAGGAAUCUGUCAGUGCCCACGCAAGCCUCCUCCUUUGUUUGUGUUUUAGGAAGAAUUUGCACCCACUGACGGGGAAUGGUGCCAGUCCCUGGUGCCAGGAGCGGGCACUAUGCCUGGCAGCCCUCGCCACGUGUCCCACCACAGACACCACCGGGGUGGCUGGGGGGGAACCCCACAGCCCUGUCCCUCUGGAACCCCCCAGUGAGGGGGUUGUGAAUGCCCAGCCCCAGAAAGUUCUGGAAUGAGGAGGCUGUUCCUGGGAAGGACUCGGUUCUGUGGCCAGAGGGGAGCUCUGGACAGACAUCCAAGGCAGCAGCCCCUCACUGUUCCCACUCUGCAGGGAAGGAAUGCAUAGCCAGAUGUGGCUGGUAGGAGGUGGCUGGCACCUUUGGGAGAACAGAGCUCCAGGCCCUUGUUCCCAGGGGCUCUGGGGAUGGGCAGUGGCUCCUUCUCCCUGGGGACCCUCGGGACCCUGCGCUGCACACGAGGUAGAAACAGGUAGGUGGUAGAGCUCUGGAAAUGCAUUUUUAUACCUAUUGCUGCAAUAAUUAUCAUGUUCAUGGAAAUGUGACUUCUCCCCAGCAUCAGUAAUGUUAGCAGCAUUCCAGCAGGGCUUGGAGGAUGGGGGAGCACAGACUGUCCCGAACUGGUGCCUCCAUGGCACCAAAGGACUUUGGAAGGGGGCAGCCAGGGGUGUGAAUGAGGGGGAAAAGGAGAUGUGCCAGUGGUUGUCACCCCAAUGUCCUGUGGCUCCACUGCUGGGGCUGGGUGCUGCACUGGCAGCUGCAGCCCCAGUCCCUGGGAGCCCAUCCCUGCCCAGGGACAGGUGCUGAUAUUGGCAGUCUGCCCGUGCUGGCUUCAGGUUUCAUUUGACACAGCCAGGGGCAGCCACUGGCGCAGUGGAGUUUGGCUUAUUGGUUUCACAGGGAGAGGGGAGAGAUCUGAGCAGCCACUGGCACAGACACACACCAGUGCACUGCUGCAGCCACUGACAAAGCAGUGAUAAAGCUCUUAGAGAGAUUCCUGUCUCAUCUGUCUCCAGUAAAUCAGAGCAAAGCUGAAAACAUCAGAGGACGCAAAAUGCAAAAGCAAUAAAAAGCUCCUGACGUCCAUUGAAGGCAGAACGUGGUCUGACAUGACCACUGGCAGCAGAAGGAUUUCACAUGGUGGGGGCUGCUUACAUGAGGAAUUGUUCAUUAUUUAGUGGCUGCUUAAGGGGCUGGGGAAACAAAAAUCAAAGCUCCUGCUGUUCUGUGGUGAUGAAAGUGCUGCAGCUGCCCCACUGCAGAUGCGUUUACCUCCAGCCUCACCUGCACCGGGAGCUGGAGAGGUGCCUGGCUGCUUGCUCAGAAAUGAAAGCACUGAGAAUCAAUCAUUUGUUUACAUUGUAGGACUUGUUGAAAAUCAAUUGGCUCCACAUGCUGCAGAUCUGAUUGCAUUUUGUUAGCGGUCACAGGGAAUGGUUUUCCCUUGACAUGUCUGUGUUCGUGGUUUCUCCAAUGCAUCAGUUGUACCAAGCUUUUAGGAUAAUUGAGACUGAGCAACAAUCCUCUUUAUAAAUAUUAACUCUGAUAUGCUUGGGAAACUCUGCCUCUCCUGGAUGAAUUUUUAACUAGAUUUUUAAUCUAUUGUUCCUUGUUAGAACAGCAGAAGCAUUCCUUGGUGCCUGUUCCUGCCUCCCCAGCUGCAGGAGAGUGGCAUCCCUGCCAAACAUCGCUCCCAGGGCAGGGAUGCAAAGCCCCUGGUCCCAGGGCAGGGCCUGCUCUGCCCAUGGGGACAACCCCACAGGGCAGGGACACAGGGCUGAGAGCAGCCAUGCAGGGGCUGCCAAGUUUGGGUUCUCCCAAAGGGACUGGUACACAAGGAUGAGUUUCCAUGUAGAUCCCUGGAAGUCUCCUGGGACAAGCAGAGCCCAGCAGCAGGGCAAUCUCUUGGAGCAGAUGCCUGUCCCUGUGCCCAGCCCAAGUGAUGCAGCCUCUGCACCAGGGACAGGCACCCUCAGCUGGGGAGGCAGCGCUGUCUGAGCCAUGGGAACUGCAGAGGAGGAGGACCCCCAGCCAGACCCAGAGCCCUGAAGACGCUGAUGGAGGGAUGUUCUCUGGGAGGACAUGCUGCAGGAGCUAGGAAGGCUGUGGAAUGGGCUCCUGUCUCUAGCAGGGGCUGCCAGGCCCCUCUGAGACCCCUUCCUAUUGGUGUUUGGUUCUGCAGAAGAGCUGGUCACAGUCCCACAGCUCUGGCCUGGCUCAGCUGAACUGUUUCUUUCCCCCCCCAAUCAGAUGUUGCCCUCUUUAAUAUUAUCUGAGUAUCUGUCAAACUGUGGAUCUUUUUGUGAAACCUCUGUACAGGAAGAGACAAAAGGCAGCAGGGAUGCUUUUGAAAUGAAAGCCCUACUUUACAUUUCAAAUACUUUAACAGAUUUUUCUUUUCUUUUUUCUUUCCUUGGAUUUUUAAUAAAAGCUUUAAACAGACCUUUUUUUUUUUAAUGGUGGUUGCUUGCCAAAGGACAUGUCAGUGGGGAUGUGAGGAAGCUGUUGCACUCAGAGGUUGCACAAGUCACUGCCCCAGCUAGGCUUGUUGUUCCAGGCUGCUGCGUGCCUGUUCCAGUGGAGCAGCUGCUGAUCUUCCACGGGGGCAGGACGGAUGGAUUGCCUGGAGAACCCAGGCAUGUGCUGCCAGCAUUUGCCUAAUAGGCACCUCAGCAAUGUGUCCUGGGAGCUGGGCUUGCCUCCUGAGCAGCUGCUGUUUCUCUCCAGUAAGUAUGUAAAGCCCAGCACAUUCCCAAGUGCAGGAGGUUUCUGCUGGGGUCCAGAGGCUGCGUGCUGCCACUGUGGCUGGAAGAUCCCAGGGGGAAUCCCAGAGCUUCGUGAUACGAGCAGCAUCAGAUGAAAUAACUAUUCUUGGGCACUCAUUCAGGCAGUACUUUCAGGUUUCUAAGCAGUGUGUAUCAUGCUGUGGCUGUUAUUAAAAUGCUCCUGUGGUCAGUAGCAGUGCAGCUUGCUCUGAAGAGUGCACACAGAUUUAAGUCCAAGAAAUCCAUUUAAGGUUCUCCCAGGCCAGGCUGGGGACAGUAGCAUUUAUCCCAUGGGCAGCCAAACCCUGACACAGCUCUGCCCCAGUCUGUGAGGUCUGCCCCUGACUGGGGUCACAAGAGAUGGCCAAAGCAGCCAGGUGCCAAAGGGCAUUCACACCGUGUCCCAUUGCCUUUUUCUGCCCCCCAGUGUUGCGGUGCCUUGCCCCUGUGGCUGCCCCACAGCCACCCUGGCACGCUGCAGGCUGGAAACAGUUCUGGCUGCCUGGGAUGGUGCUGGCCCCUCCACCCUCACUCUAGCUGGUGGCAACGCAAGGCACCUCCUUUGCAAGGAGGGGAAUUUAAUUCCUGAUGAAGACCAGGAUGUCUGCUAGCUCUGGGAGCCAUUCCUCAGCCGACACCGGCCCAGCAGCUGCGGGAGCCUCUGGCUGCCUCUUGGGCCAGCUGUGCCCAUAUUCCAGUGCUUGGGGAGGGCGGGUUAUUUCCUGGCUGCUUGGCACGGUUGCAAAUUUUAGUGGAAAAGCUAAACCAAACGGACUGUGGAGUGUCACACUGUGUUAGUUCUGUGCAGAGAAGAGUUGUCAAACCCGCAAACAAGACACGGGAGAAGCCUGGAAUUGACACCGGGGCUGGUGUCUGUGCGAGCGGGGCCGAGGCAGGGGCUGGGACACUUUCCUCGCUGCCAAACUCAGUGUCAAAGUCUGGAGCUUGAACCAAGGCUGAUGGAAGUGGAUUUAUUUAAACUGCCAGGAUAAAUUAACUUUUAAAGUCACAGUGAAAAAGUCUGUGCCGUGAAUAAGGGCCAUGAAUAUUCAGGCACAUGCACUCAUUGAAUUAGUUUGUUGCAAACAUAUUUGGAGGCAGCUGUUCAUUUAAUAAUCAGGGAUAAUCACAGAAAUAGGCGACCGGUUACUCCAUCUAAAUUGCAUGGUUAAAAUUAUAAUUUUAUAACUCUAUCUCAGCAAUUAGAUUUAAUAGCUAUGGAAAUCCAGCAAAACCCAGUUGAGGGAAAGCUGUUACUCCUUUAGUGCAGAAAAGCCAAGGUCAGGCUAGGGUUCCCUCUGCCCACACCGCAGAGACACUGGGGCUGGAGCUGUUUCCAGUGCUGCCCAAAGCACAGAGCCAGGACUUCUGGACUAAACACUCCAGUUCCGACACUGAACCAGGCUGGGGUUAGCUUUCUUGGCAUUUCCUGUCUUCAUUACAAUAUUUGUCCCAAGAACAGAUUAAUUCCUCUCAUUCUUUCUGCCUUUCCAGCCUUUUGUCACGGGAAUGCAUUUCACAGGACUGUAAUGUGUGAUACUUGCUCUGAGUUAUGGCUCUGCCAUACGCUGUAAAAGUUUGACUCUCUCAGUAUUGUACAUUUUGAUUCUACCCCUGCAGGCUAUAAACAACACAAAUUACCUCUUUCCUUAGCUUCCAAGAGGACUAAUCCCCUGUCUAGUGCUUUAUCAGUCAGUUGAGAAAGAGUGAGACCAACUUGCCAGUCCAAACAGAAUAUAUUGGAAAAACCGUAUCUCCACAACAGGGUCCCUUGCCAUAACUCACCAAGCAGCUCAGCCAGUGGAACCUGGUGCUGCAGUCACCUCUGGUUCUGUAAUGGACCGGCAGCAGAUGCCCCACGCACCCAGCUGUCAUCCCUCCUGUCCCGUCAGCCCUGUAGGAGCAGGAAGGGCUGGCACGGUCAGGGGUGGCAGGUUUCUGCCUGGGACCCUUUUUCACAGCCUGAACGCUGUGAAAGCUGGUGAUGAGCUCAGUGUUGCCAGCAGCUCUUGCAGUCUCUCCAGCACCGGCUGGGUACUGAAGGAGGGUGGGCUGGCGGGGCAGGGGCUGCACCGGGGACACCCCAUUUGUGGGGUAGGGAACCUCCCUGAGCUGCUGCCUUUUGCCCCUGUCCUGGGCAGGCUUCGCUGGGUGUGCUCUCCUGCACACCCUCCCUUGAUGCCUUCAGGCACUCUGCUGCUCUGGUGCUGGAGACAGGCAGGACACAGCUCUGCCUGGAAAAGGAAACCAGAAUUCAGGACAGCCAGUGUGGGAAGAAAUGUCCUGGUCCCUGAGGGUGCCUGCCUGCCCACAACAGGCACUUCCUUGGCUUAGCUGGAACUCCGCUCCUCUCCAGCACCAGGCCAGCAUGGUUGCUCCAAGGUUUAACACUUUAUUAGAAAAUGAGGGGUUAGAGCAUGUUCCAGAGGAGAAGGAAAUUUAUUGUUGCCCUGGCCCUGCAGCAAAGCAAAACUCAAAUAACCCAGAUGUGGGGAGGAUGAUAAAUCCCUGCUGGCAAUCACACUGCUGAAAGGAUGGUGACAGCCUCAGCAAAGUUUGGCCAGUUAAUAUUUCUCAUAGCUGAGUGAGAAAAAUAGUUAUAUUUAAAAUUAUAUCUCUGCUGAAUGACACAAGGAGAAAGCCCAGAUAACUGUUGGGCCUUCUAAACACCUUGCUGCAGGAGGUGCUGGUUUGCAGAGGGCUCCUGGGAGCAGCAGAGGGUCCCAGGGGUCUCCUCCCCACAGAUUUUCUCCGCUGAAGGAUCCCUCUGGGUAGGGAAGUCUCUGCCCAGCCAGCCCUGGUGCCACAUCCUGCCCUGAGCCAGGCAAGGGUGUCUCAUUUCGUGAAGGGGAGAGCAAGAUGAGGAGAGGGAAGGGGUAAGGAGUGAGGGCUCCAACAGGGGUGUGAGAAGUGGGGUCCCCCCAGUGACCAGGCCAGUGAGUGGGGGUUCAGGGACAGGCACAGAGAGAGGUGCAGGUCUCUGCUGCUGCUGCUCCUGCAGUGUGCUGAGAGUGCUCACCAGCCUAACAACUCCAAUUCCUUUUCCAAUUUAAAGACUUAAUUAUGAGAACUUUCUCUUCUCAAUUUUUAUUUCCAGGAGGUCACUAUUGUGAAGCCAGACUCUUCCAGUGAGUGAAGGUCCUUGGCUGGGGGUCCUGGGAAUGGCAGGGAACAUGCAGCAAAGGAAGCAUGUCAGCUCAAUGCGUGCUGUAAAUUUUCAAUGUGUUUUUGUUUUAUGCUCCAGGGGAAUGCUAUAGAAGCCAUCAAUCCUCUUCCUGGCUGAUCCUGAGCUGCUGGUGUUCAGGCAAGAUGGGCAGCAUCUGUCUGGGACACCCUGAUGGGGUAAAGGUGACGGAGUGUCCUGGACCAUUUUGGUCUGCCUUUAAAAAAUUAUUUUCUGUCAACAGAAAAUACAAGCCACCAAGGGCUCUUUGGAUCUUCCUGAUCUGAUGCCUGAAAUACCUCACUGUCAGCCUGCAGAGCGCUCUGGCACAGGAGCAGUGUGAUGCCAGCACGGCUCCCCCAGCACAGCUGCCCUCUCCUCCCACCGCCAUGUGAUUCAUGAGCUUUCACAUCUCUGCCAUUAGCCUGUUAAUCCAGCACCUUGCUCCAGCCACACCACGGGGGAGGAUUUAUGGUUCUCACAGAUCAAUUUCAUUAUCCCAGGAGGAAAAUCAGUGUCUUGUUAUGGAUAAAAUGACAAUAAAUGAAACGACCGUUAAUUUA